CACACACAUACACGCUCAUCAACAAGCAUUCUUAUACUUAAGCAUCUAACCUGCCAAACCCAACCUGUAUCUGCUGCAAUUGAUGACCAGAAUAAUAAAGCUGAUGAAGGAUUCUCUGGCCGGAAUCUGUCCAUUGUGUUCCCAUCCCAAAGUGAACCAUUAAUCCAUAUUUUACAGUGGACCAUUUUGCCCCUGAAUCUACCAAGCAAGUCACAAACUUUCCACCCACUCUGACGGUCAUCAUGAGCUCUGUCUCCUCCCCCAUGACUGGAUAGGCUCCUCCUGGGCAUCCCUAUUGCUGAGGUAUCCACCCUCCAGUUCCAGGAGGAGGUGGUGCAUAUGGACAUUCCCUUUGCCAGUGGUCGAGCUGUCCACAGAUGUAACAACCCUGACGCCCAGAUCCACCCCUUCUCCGCCCAUUCCGCCUAGUAUAGCCCCCAUUGGACCGUCCCUGAAAGCUACCCCGCCCUCUGGGAGGGCCAGAGUAGGUUGGAUAAUAGGACUGCUGUGUAGCUGGGGGAGGGGCCUGUGGAGCUACAGUCACUGGGGCCUGAAGUGGAGGAGUAGGGGGUGUGGCUACCAUCUGUUUUUUAGCUUCUUUGGACUUUUUGUCCUUAUUAACUUCCUCUUUAAGUUUAGCAAGCUGUAGUUUAAGCAUAGUGACUUCUAUGUCUUCUUUCUGAUUCUGCUGGUCCUUCUGCUUUUUGUCAUGCUGAUUAAGAUGAUGCUUAGCAAACAUGCAAUAGCGCUCAAAAGCUUCUGAAGAGAAAAGGUCAGGCUGGUCCCCUAAUUUGUCCUUACCCUCAAUAGGGAGGCCAGACUCAAACGCCUGCUUAAACCAUGAGCAGUGAACCUCACUACAGCUGGGGUGAUGCCCCACCCUGUCAGUGUAUGUAGUAAUGCAUCUCAGUACAUAGUCCUCAGGUGUCUCUUUUUCAUCUCUCUGGAAAGUCAUUUUAGCUACAUCACCCGCAGGAGGGGGAAAUGUUCUGUCAAGUGCAGCUGACCAUGCAGUAGCAUACGGUCCCAAAGGGAUGUCAUUAGGAUGAGUAAAAGUUCCUGCCAAAUAAUCAAGUUCUCUAAGUGUCAUAGCUGAAGUACAGGAGGCCACCAUCCCUCACACAUCUCCCAGAGCCAAUUGAGUCCCCGCAGUAAGAGGAAUCAUUUUGUUCCACCACAUCAGUCCCCCAGAAGUGAGAGCAGGCAACUUAGAAGUAAGAGAAUGCAUAUCAGUCCAAGAAAAAGGUUCAUAAACUGAGCCUCCAGCUUGGUGUUGCAUCAGAGGAAAAUGUCCUCCAAGUCGCUGUGGCAUAUUCUGAAGAUAUGGUGGGCCCAUUUGUGGAUCAGUGGAAAGAGAGCUCUGCGUUGCCACUGAAGAAAUGUUUUCUGUGCUUUUAAAAGUAAUCAAGUCAGAAGUCAAAGACUCUUCCCGAGCCUCCACACAAUCGAAAAAUCCUCCUUUUACAUUAAGGAUUGGUGCCUGAAGAGCAGGGCUUGGAGAGGUCUGAUAAGGAGGUGGAUCAGGACGGGAGGGAGAAAAGCUUGACUCCCCGUGUCUGCUAUGCUAGUGUCGCUGAAGUGCAUACAAUGCUGUUGCAGUAAUAUAGAUAUGAUGAAUAAAAGCUCUCCAAUUCUCAGCUUCUUCAAAUCUUUUCUUCUUCUUACCCUUAUUAAUCCUACUCGCGUUUUCCAUGUCUUUCUUAACAACCUCCAUAGUUCCUUCUGCCUGAGAUUCUGCACAUUGUAACCAUGUCAGUACCUUUCGGGGAUCAGGGUUUUCCACAUUCACCCGGUUUGUCUGCAUUCUAGUCACACAAUCUGACCAAAAAGAAGCAAACUCUUUUUCUUUGCCAGCAAUGCUUGACUGGGCUUGGUUUUUUACACGAGU